GACUAUCCUUACCAUGCCAUAAGAAAAUAAGUUUUAUCAACUAUAAAAUUUGAGUUGUAUAGUUGAUGGUCUAAGAAAACAAAUUAUACCAUUUUCUCGGUUCACUGUGCUUUUAUAAUUGCGUGUUUUAGUUAAUUUAUGAGUAUGGUUUAUAAAUAUCAAUAUAAUACAUUUUCGUAACACAGCAAUGAAACAUAGGGUCUGAUUGGUAAUGGCUGUAGCUUUAAAAUUUUUGCUGUAGAAAAAAAUCUGUAGACUUUUUGCUUUGGCUUUAGAUUUUAUUGCUGUAGAAUUUGUGGAAAGCAGUAAAAAAUUGCUUUGGAUAUUUGGCUCUGUAGAGCACUUGUACAGCUGUAGAUUAUUUUAAAAGCUGUGGUUUCAAAAAAAAAAUUAAAGCUUGAUUGCUCUGAAUUUAGUGCUGUAGAAAUAAAUAGGGCUGUGGACAGCACCUACAUCAACUACCAAUCACCCCCAUAAGUAUCGAUCAUAUAACCGGACAACCUUUAACAAUCACUCCUCUAGCGGUUGGACAUCUAGCUAGAUCACAAU
rnacentral:lncRNA from 1 species